AGAGUUUGAUCCUGGCUCAGGACAAACGCUGGCGGCGUGCAUAACACAUGCAAGUCGAGCGAGAAACCGUUUCUUCAAGGCUUCGGCCAAGAAGAUUUGGUGGAGAGCGGCAAACGGGUGAGUAACACGUGGGUAAUAUGCCUGUCAGUGGAGGAUAACCUCGGGAAACCGGGGCUAAUACUCCAUACGAUGGUAUGCCUUAUGGCAUAUCAUGAAAGAAACUUUGUUUCGCUGACAGAUUAGCUUGCGGCCUAUUAGCUUGUUGGUGAGGUAAAAGCUCACCAAGGCGACGAUGGGUAGCCGACCUUAAAGGGUGGCCGGCCACACUGGGACUGAGACACGGCCCAGACUCCUACGGGAGGCAGCAGUGGGGAAUCUUGCGCAAUGGGGGAAACCCUGACGCAGCAACGCCGCGUGGAGGACGAAGUCCUUAGGGACGUAAACUCCUUUCAGGAGGGAAGAAAUGCCCCGUAUGGGGAGCUGACGGUACCUCCAGAAGAAGCACCGGCUAACUCCGUGCCAGCAGCCGCGGUAAUACGGAGGGUGCAAGCGUUGUCCGGAAUCACUAGGCGUAAAGGGCACGCAGGUGUUUCUGCAAGUCGGUUGUGAAAGGCCCCUGCUUAACGGGGGAGUGUCAAUCGAAACUGCAGAAAUUGAGAGCAAGAGAGGAAAGCGGAAUUCCUGGAGGAGCGGUGAAAUGCGUAGAUUUCAGGAAGAACACCUAUGGCGAAGGCAGCUUUCUGGCUUGCUUCUGACACUCAGGUGCGAAAGCGUGGGGAGCGAACGGGAUUAGAUACCCCGGUAGUCCACGCUGUAAACGUUGGAUACUAGGUGGCGGAUAUAAAUUCGUUACCGCAGCAAACGCAGUAAGUAUCCCGCCUGGGGAGUACGACCGCAAGGUUGAAACUCAAAGGAAUUGACGGGGGCCCGCACAAGCGGUGGAGCAUGUGGUUUAAUUCGAUGCUACGCGAAGAACCUUACCUGGACUUGACAUGGUUGGGAAUUUCCUGGAAACAGGAAAGUGCCUGCAUCUGCAGGAGCCCUUUCACAGGUGCUGCAUGGCUGUCGUCAGCUCGUGUCGUGAGAUGUUGGGUUAAGUCCCGCAACGAGCGCAACCCUUACUCUUAGUUAUCAGCGGGUAAUGCCGGAGACUCUAAGAGAACUGCCCAGAACAACUGGGAGGAAGGUGGGGACGACGUCAAGUCAUCAUGGCCCUUAUGUCCAGGGCUACACACGUGCUACAAUGGCUGAUACAAAGGGUAGCAAAACCGCAAGGUCAAGCAAAUCCCAUAAAGUCAGCCUAAGUUCGGAUUGCAGGCUGCAACUCGCCUGCAUGAAGUUGGAAUCGCUAGUAAUCGUGGGUCAGCAAUACCACGGUGAAUAUGUUCCCGGGCCUUGUACACACCGCCCGUCACACCACGAAAGUUAGCUGUACCAGAAGUCGCUGGCUCAACCCCGGUUUGCCGGGGCGGGAGGCGCCGAAGGUAUGGCUGAUGAUUGGGGUGAAGUCGUAACAAGGUAGCCGUACAUGAAUGUGCGGCUG
rnacentral:rRNA from 1 species